CAGCCGCCGCGGUAAUACGUAGGGUGCGAGCGUUAAUCGGAAUUACUGGGCGUAAAGCGUGCGCAGGCGGUUUUGUAAGACAGGCGUGAAAUCCCCGGGCUCAACCUGGGAAUGGCGCUUGUGACUGCAAAGCUAGAGUGCGGCAGAGGGGGAUGGAAUUCCGCGUGUAGCAGUGAAAUGCGUAGAUAUGCGGAGGAACACCGAUGGCGAAGGCAAUCCCCUGGGCCUGCACUGACGCUCAUGCGCGAAAGCGUGGGGAGCAAACAGGAUUAGAUACCCCGGUAGUCCCUGUCUCUUAUAA
rnacentral:rRNA from 1 species